UUAUAAGCUUAUAUUUGGCACGAUAACGGCCGAUCAUAUAUUUAUUAAAACUCGUUAAAACUAAAAUGAGGUGUACUAGCAUUUUUACGUCAAAUUUACUUAAAAUAGUUAUUUGCUUUUGUGAUGAUGGCAUACAUCACAGUGUAGAAUAUGAAAAAAACAUUAUAUGCUAGUGACUAGACGAGUUUGGAUGUUAACUGGCUGAAGAAACAGUAUUUUGAUUAUUUCUCAGAGAGUAGAAUGGCUCGGGCAUGUGAUCGAUAUGCAUAAAAUGCAGUUUUUCAUAAUUAAAAAUUGAGUAGCCAGGCUAGAAAAAAAGUAUUGAUUCUAUGAUCUAUCUAAUUUAUCAAACGAAAGAAAAAGUAGUACCAAAAGAUAAAUUAAUAGCUAGUUGUGUAGGGCAGAUAAUUUCCUUUCAGAGUGUGAUUGUAAAUAAAGAUUGGUGAUAACAAUGCAUAUAUAAAAUUGCAUAAAUACCAGAGCUAGUUGGAAAGCUCCCGUUUAUUGUAACGUUGCAAGCUAUUUACAAACUUAGAUUAUGGAAAGAAAGCACUAGGCAGUUAAUCAACAGUGGAAAAGAUUUCAAACACAAUCAGUUGUUUUUGUGUAAUAUAGUUGCUGAUGCAAGUACCACAAGUUAUGGUUUAUGGAGGUUUUAUAGAAAGUUGUAGCUUUAAUGUAGAUAUAGGCGAAAUGACUGUCAAGCUUACGAUUUUCAUAAAAAUAAAAAAAAAGCAAAUUUAUUUUCAAUUUGUUUUAUUCCAUUGACGAAGAGAGUAAAGGUAUGUACUCGUGAUCUUUGAGACCCGAAAAUGAGAAAAUUGGAAUGUACAUGAUCUUAAUAAAAAGAGCAACCUGUUCCCGGAAGUGAACAGAUUAUUGACGAAAAGAGAAAAGUUAUCCCUGGAAGUGAUUACUAUAUUACACUGUUAAAAUCAAGGAGGUACACUGCCAGUGUUUCUAUAAACAAAACAGGUAAUGCAUAUUGUGAUUUAAUAUGAAGUCAAUACAUUAAGCCACCGGAAGUUGGUUUUCAAGAUAAACCCGAUAAGUAUUCCGUCGUUCAACAUAACGAAAUGUUUUGAGAGGUACUCUGAAGGAGCGAUUAGAGGGCUCGGGCUUGCAUGGGCUUCGAAGAGAUUAGAUGGGGGACAGAAUGGCUAAGUAAAUACUUAGAACAAUCAAGAGCAGACAAUACGGUGAAGAAAAGAAUUCUUCAUGUGCACAUUUCAAAUACUGUGAAGAAAAUGUAGUCGCCAUGCCAGCCUUACAUAUAUCAGUAGUAAUGUACAUGGCUCAAUUGAUGGAUCGAGGAAAUCGUAUAACGUUUUUUACAUCUGUGUUUUACAGUAUUAAAUGGAUCCAUUCUAUUAAUAGUGUACAUGAUCCAAAGAAAGAUUUAACAAACUAUUAUAAGAAGCUUCAAAGCGUGUGUGCUUCAAACCAUUUCACAAGAAAGAUGUAUCAUGUACAUGUGCAUUCAUUAGAGAUGAUACAAACAUUGUGUUUGAUAUAAGGAGAUUCCACUGUUUUCAUUGAUUGAUCAUUUUUGGGUUAUGCAUGUACAUGUAUCAUGCAUAUUAACAAAUUAAGUGAGUUUCAUUGUAAUGACCUACAAUUGAAAUCUGAUCACUUUGGUAUUAAUGUACGCCAUUAUAAUACUGGCAUGUAUACGAAUGGUUCGGAUAUUAUAAUUGCAAAAUGUACAACUACAACUUCCCAUGUGGCGUUUUAUUAACAAAUAUGUAAUUAGCAAAUUGGUCAGAUGAAUCAAAUGAUUUUUUGUUCAAACCUUUGUUCUAUCGUAAGCCGUGCCCAAUGCAAAACGUGUUGUGUUUUGUGCUUAGUUGUGUGAAGACAGGGCAUGGUGUUGUGGGUGAGAUGGUGGGUAUUCAGCCCUGAAAGUGCCUCCCCCAGUAAAGGGAUGAUUUAUUGUGAGUAGAUGACAUUUUGGAGAUUGAUUGAAUAAUUUAGUUGAGGAUAGAAAGAAAUGUUACUAUUGUCUACUGAAGAGGUGUUAAGCCCUAUAUAAAGCAAGUCAAUCAGUUUAAAUAUAAGCUGAGUGUUAAAUAUCCCAGUAUCAUCAAAGUAAAGCAUUGAAAAAUAGCACCGCACCGGUAAACAACCCAAUAUAGUGUGUAUAUAUAAAUAAGAAGAAUUAAGUCAUUUGGUAAUUUUGACUGUUAGAUUGAGAAAUAGACAAAGAAAAAUUUCCGAAUACCAAAUGACGUCCGAAAUACUAAAAGUUUUAGAAAAAUACGAAAAAAGAAAAAAAGGCAACAAUGGACGGGCAAGGGACAAUGUAGCAGUGGUAGUUGAGAACUGGUUGAAUGGCUGAUAGCGUUUUCGUCUUAUUUCUUUAUUUCUCCAUACAGAAACUUAAAAACUUUGUUUACAAUAUAAUCUCGUGCUUUAAUGGCGACCGAAAAAAUGAAAGAUGUGACUUCUGCAGUGUUUAGAAUGUUUUUCUUCUUUUCUUGACCUAGCGACCUAGUUUUUCGACCCAGCAUGACUCAGUUUCGAAUUUGACCAAGGUAUCAUUGGGACAAAAUUCUGACAAAGUUUCAUGAAGAUCAGACAAGAAAUGUGGCCUCUAUAGUGUUUACGAACAAAUGUGGACAGAGGGACAACAGACAAAGACCUAUCACAAAAGCUCACCUGAGCAAUCUGGAUAUCUCAAAAGUUCACACUAUUUUUGUUUUCAAUUAUUUAGGGAUGGCAAACCUAAGCAAAUCCGUAACUGGUUAACCUGCUUAGAUAUUUGAGCGGUUAACUGACUGUCGUUGUGCAACAAAAAUGAAAAAACAAGGGCUGUUUGUAAAACAUGCAUGCCCCCCAUACGGGCUUUCCGUUGUAGUGGCAGCCAUUGUGUGAAUACGAUUUUUGUCACUGUGACCUUGACCUUUGACCUAGUGACCUGAAAAUCAAUAGGGGUCAUCUGCAGGUCACGAUUAAUGUACCUAUGAAGUAGGCAAAAGCUUUCUUGAGUUAUCAUCCGAAAAUCAUUUUACUAUUUCGGGUCACCGUGACCUUGACCUUUGACCUUGUGACCUCAAAAUCAAUAGGGGUCAUCUGCAAGUCAUGAUCAAUCUACCUAUGAAGUUUCAUGAUCCUAGGCGUAAACGUUCUUGAGUUAUCAUCCGAAAACCAUUUUACUAUUUCGGGUCACCGUGACCUUGACCUUUGACCUAGUGACCUCAAAAUCAAUAGGGGUCAUCUGCAAGUCAUGAUCAAUCUACCCAUGAAGUUUCAUGAUCCUAGGCGUAUGCGUUCUUGAGUUAUCAUCCGGAAACCAUAUUACUAUUUCGGGUCACCGUGACCUUGACCUUUGACCUAGUGACCUCAAAAUCAAUAGGGGUCAUCUGCAAGUCCUGAUCAAUCUACCCAUGAAGUUUCAUGAUCCUAGGCGUAUGCGUUCUUGAGUUAUCAUUUAAAAACCAUUUUACUAUUUCUGGUCACCGUGACCUUGACCUUUGACCUAGUGACCUCAAAAUCAAUAGAGGUCAUCUGCGAGUCAUGAUCAAUGUACCUAUGAAGUUUCAUGAUCCUAGGCCCAAGGGUUCUCGAGUUAUCGUCUGACAACCACCUGGUGGACGGACAGACCGACAGACCGACCGACCGACCGACAUGAGCAAAGCAAUAUACC